GCCCGCGUGGCGCAAUUGGUUAGCGCGUCAGACUUUUAAGAAACCUGUAAAAAGGUCUUCUAAGCCAUCUGAAUGUUGCGAGUUCGAGUCUCGCCGUGGGCG
rfam:Neurospora tetrasperma FGSC 2509 unplaced genomic scaffold NETTE2scaffold_3, whole genome shotgun sequence.